rnacentral:rRNA from 1 species
CAGCCGCCGCGGGAAUACGUAGGUGACAAGCGUUGUCCGGAAUUAUUGGGCGUAAAGGGCUCGCAGGCGGUUUCUUAAGUCUGAUGUGAGAGCCCCCGGCUCAACCGGGGAGGGUCAUUGGAAACUGGGAAACUUGAGUGCAGAAGAGGAGAGUGGAAUUCCACGUGUAGCGGUGAAAUGCGUAGAGAUGUGGAGGAACACCAGUGGCGAAGGCGACUCUCUGGUCUGUAACUGACGCUGAGGAGCGAAAGCGUGGGGAGCGAACAGGAUUAGAUACCCCCGUAGUCCCUGUCUCUUAUAC